rnacentral:tRNA from 1 species
UGCGGGGUGGUGUAAUGGUAGCACGUUAGGCUUUGAACCUAAAAAUGAAGGUCCGAUUCCUUCCCCCGCAG